AAUGCUUUACAACCAGCAGCUAAUUAACCCGCCCCACCCCCCACAGGUCAGCAUUAGCAUCUGCAGGUUAGAGAUAUGAUCACCCAGCGGGCCCCCUCCUACCUUCCAGUCAGCAACUGAACCUGGCUGGGCUUUGUGUUCAGCGUCUAUGAGUAAUGAUUUUCAUUUAAAGUGCAUCUUUGUUCUUGGACGGUAGCGCCAUCUGUUAUUACCGUUAUUUAUUUUGCCCUCGUUUAGUGCCUCCCCUGUACUCGGUAUCAGGCUGUCUGAUCUGCAGGUGACCUCUCCACCAGAUCUUCACCGGCCCUCGGAAAAUCCCAUGCCUUGGAAGACUCUGGUCUAAUGGCAAACUCCAUUUAUUUUCCUACAACUCUCAAUUUGUGCUCCAAGUAUUUUUAAUCCAAAUUACCACUGCCGGUUGUAAUUGCAAUACUGCAAACGUUUGCCAACACAACCAGUGUCCCUCCGCAAGCUUCUGCCCGGCUCUUCAUGUUGAGGCUGCACUUCCCCAGUGAGCCCAGGCAGCUAUGCUCUGUGCUGUAUCACCGGUGAGCCAAUUAUUUCAAUUUUGGCAUCAGAUUCAGAAGAGAGUUUAAUGAUCCUCCAUGGUAUAAACUGAAUUUUUAUUCCUACAGCAAUUUAGUAAUGAUGAUGGCACUUAAGUACUUAGAAUAUAUUUCUCAUCUUCCCACUCUGAUAAACAGGGGGCCAGACAACCAGUUCAGUCACUUCUCUGGACUGCCACAUUGACACCAUUUUGCAGAAUUAGGAGGCCAAGCUUACUUACAUCCCGCUCUUCUGCCAGGGAAUGGGGGAAAAGAAUCCCCCAGACUCCACGCCUCUCUGCUGAGGAUUCAGGUGGGUGUCAGAAUAAGGUCCCAGGACUUACACACUCAUGUUAAUUAACCCACUUGUUCACUUAUUCAACAAAUAUCUAAUGAGUUUCUACGAGGUAAGGAAACUAGGCCCCAGGAGAGAGCUGAGAUGUACCAGGCAUGUUCUUUUUUCCUCUAAUCAAAUUCAACUCCAACCCCCCAGCUGGGUUCCAAAUGAUUUGAGUACUUCAUUUAUGUUCGCAUAUGUUUGCUCCAGCCAUUCAGCAAACAGUCGGCAGGCACCUUCUAGGUAUGAGCUGUUCCUUUGGGAGCUCAAUAGUUUACAACAAAGACCUAAUCUGUCAGCAGAUUCUGUUGGCUCUGCCUCUAUCUCUAAUUCUGGGAUCUGGUCUUUUCUCAUCCUCCAUGGCUUCUGAUCUGGGCCAAUCACAUAAGCCAGAACCUUCUUAUUGAUCUCUGUGUAUGAGGGAGACUGUGUCAACCAGACUGACUUUUAGGCUGCGAUUACCUAAGCGAGAAGAUCUGCUGUUAAUGUGGACAGUGUAGUCGCAUGGGCUUCUGGGAGGAAAAGGAGGAAAAGGGGGAAAGUAAAUGAAGCACCAGGAAGCUGAGUCUGCUUUCUGACUCUGGAUGCAAUGUGACCUCAUGCUUCUUCAGCCACAGCUUCCUUCCCUGACAGGAUGGGCUAUCACUCCUCAGACGGUGAGCCAAAUCAAACCCUUCCUUCUGUAAGUUGCUGUUGACGGGUAUUUGUCACAAUAAUGAGAGAAAUAACUAACAUACCCUACCCUGCUUCUGCUCUUGUCUUCCACUGUCUGUUCUCAACACAGCAUAGCCAUCUUUUAAAAUACAGACUCCGACUGUGCACAUCUUCAAAAGGUCCUAGGCCUUUCUGUCUCACUCAGAGGAAAGGCCUGGUUUCGCCUCUCCGUCUUGGUCUCUUUUCUUCUCUCUGUUCACCCUGUCCGAGUCACUCCGAUUUCUUUGCUGUUCCUCCGACUCACCAGGCAAGUUCUUACCUCAGGGCCUUUGCUUAUCUGUGGCUCUCUCUGUUUGGGGUGUUCUCUCUUCAGUUACACACGUCUUAUUCCUUACCAUCUCAGGACAUGGCCCCAUUGUCAGCUUCUCUGGGCUGGCCAGUUCCUUUAAAAUGCUUACCUAGUCCUGCUCUGAGUUGCUAUAUUACUUCCACUGCUUUGCUCUAUGGUGCCCUCUGUGUGACAUAUUACUUCCUUUAUUUAUGGUAUGUCUCUCACCACUAGAAUGUAAAUUCCACACAAGCAUAGGCCUUUCUCUGUUUUAUUUACUGUUUACGGCCUAGCCGUAAACAGAUAUUUAAAAAAAAAUUGUUGAAUAUCUAUACAUGUAUGUAAUGAACACAUGUACUAAAUAGCAUUAUCAUGGCCUCCACAGAAUUUACAACGAGGCUGAAGCUUUAUCUAGAAAUAAGCAGGAGCUGUCAUCCAAGAAACCCAGGUAUGGUAGUUCAAAAGGUAGAAAAUUCUUUUUGCCAUCUUGAACGAGCCAGGCAAACAGGGCCCUAGGGUCACAGGUAUGUUCUGUUGGGAAAGAGCUGCAAUACCUGUGGAAGGGUAACAGAGGUUCCUUGAGGCUCAGUCUAUGACUGGACCUAGAAAGACUGGGCGCCUUGUGUGGCGUCUCAUGGAAACCUGGUGGCCACGGCAGCUGGCCGUCCUUUGCCUCCUGCCUACGUCUCACUAACCAGCGCCCGUGCAGAAUCAGCCCCACGUCCUGCAUGGAGCCCCUGCUGAGGCUCUGUGGCUGUAGUCUGCAGAUGUCAGUGGCGAACAUCUGGGGGAAGGAGAGUCCUGUCAUUUCUCCUGACGGAUCUCGACAAGAGAUGUCAGGUUAGAGCUAGUUAUCUGAGUGCCUAACUGGAUCCUGAGGAUAAAUCUCUUAGUUUGGUAGCACUUUACAGUAUGUGGCAGCAGUUCAUGCAUAAUUACUUCUGAAUUAUCUAGGGAAUUCAUCAGGUUUGAUUAUAGAUGCAUAAUGAACUUACCAAAUUUGAGGGUAUUAGGGAGAUAUUAAUUCCAUAUGAAACCUCACAAUUCAUUCAUGUGCCAUUUGUUUUCAUUCCUUUUUUAUAAUAAGCUAAUUAGUUUAAAUUAUUUGUACUUGUACAAGGUCUUGAAACACAUAUAAGGAAUGAUUAUACUACAGAACCCAAUAAAUGAGAAGCUUUAGAGACAGCAUUAAUUGUGAUAAAGGGUUCAUAAAGCAGUAGAUGUUCAAUUUUCCCAUUUGGGGUGGUAAUAAUAGGCCUAAUCAUGACACCUCCAUAAAGUCGUGGGAAGUCCCUAAUUAACAUUUCUGAAUUCAGAUAUUUAAAAGAAGGUGGGAGAAGCCGUUGUGCCAACCGGAAGAUGAGGCAGAAAGGGGAGUUCGACCUUGUGCUAAGCAAAGAAGAAAGGAGGAGCCAGGCAGGGCUUGCUAGUCCUGUGCUAGAAGGAAGAUGCACACUCAGGCCUUAUCGGCUCUGAGGACUCUGUGAGGAAAAACGCCAGGUUCUGAAGGUCAUGGGCAAGCCAGGAUUUCUGUCCUUCCAAACGGAAGGUGGGCUUUGGGUGGACCCCGGCACCUGCUGGCUGACCCUGUUGUUAUUUAUGUGGCACUGGCUCGCUCUGGACUGUGAACCUACCUGCAGUCCCUGCGUGUGGAAGCUGCCUCUAAAGUACUGAAGAUGGAGACAGGAUUGAUUUUUCCAGAAGAACCUCAGCAGAGGAGUUCAUGAAGAAAUGAGGAGAAACAAGUGUGACUGAGAGUACUCUUCUCCCCCCUCCCCCCCACCGUGCCACAUCCUGCCUGUCUGUGGGAGAGUGUUAUCCCGGCCAUCUCAGAGUCACCAUACAGGUGACAUGUGAGAGGUCUGAGCUCCUACAACCCUGACAUGCCCUGGGCCAUGUAUAUCUAAAAAUUUACUCCCUUUCCCUUCCACGAUACCUCAUAUACGUCUUAAUUAAAAAAAAAAUGCAUGUUUUAAGCUUUUUUUUUUUUUCUUAAAAAAUUUUAGCCCUUGUCCUUCAGAGCUAUCAUUAAUCUAACGGACAGUAAGUCAGGAGCCUGCAGACAUCACUCCUUGUCUUCUUGGCCUGCAGAAGAUAGCCAACCUGCCUCAUUUUAGGGAGGAGAAAAGGACGUGUGGAAGACUAUUCUUAGCUCACUCUGGUCCAGGCUGCACGGAAGGCAGGUGGAUCUUGCCCGCCGUGGGCAGAUGAUGGCAGGCCCAUCUAUCCAUCCCCAUUUUGUGCCUUGUGAUUUGGCAGCUCUGGGAAGGUUUGUGAGGCAGAGGGAAGGGUGGGAUCGGGGCUCAGGGAAGGGGUAGGAAGAGAUAAGUGACUUCAGUCAGGAUCAUUUUUCCUGAUGUCAAGCCUCACCCAGGAGAGCUUUCCCUGUUGCCUGCUUUUAUCUGGAAAACAAUACAAGCAGUAUCUCUGAAAAUUAGGUCAGGGCUUGUGAUGGCAGGGGCUUGCCAAGGUGUGAACUGCCUGAAUCCUCGGCGGGCUCGCUCUGCGUUCUGCUCUGACAAAUGUUUCCUUUGUUUCCCUGAAAAGUCUGACUUGCCGAAGCGCCUGAGCCUGCUCUUUCUCUUUCUUUUGGUCUCCCCACGGACAACAGAAUUUGGAAAGAAAAAAAAUUCCCCACUUGUCAAGUUCUCCCUCUUCCUCUGAACUCCUUCUCUGCUGCUAUCACUCUGGGGACUGGAAGCCACUUUGAGGAGGGUGUGAACCCUCCUUCUUAUCAUCUCUUCAGCAGGGUAGGCCGACCUGCACCAGAAGUCUUAGGAAGGCUGUGUGGACCCUGCCAGGGCCAGCAAUGUCAGAGGCCUUUAUCCUGCCUCCUGCUCCUCUACCGCAUCAACUUGCUUCUGCUGGAGCCUGGCAUUGUGGUGGGCAUUCUUUGUGUGGCCACAAAUCCUACUGAUUAUUCUAGAAAAUCAUUGAUCACAUCGACAACAAAGUUGCUACUUUGUCUACCAUCAUCCUUGGAGCACAGAGAGUCAUCCCAGUUGACAGCCCUUCCUGAGAGCAUGGGUCACAGUUGUUGGAUUAACCUUAUCCCUCUAUCUCACAAGGAGGAGAGGCAAGUGGGCAUUCAUCAAGAGAACUCACAGGAAGCUAUUUGGACUGGCCAAUUAGCUAACCACUCUACCCUGAAGUCCUUAGAAAGCUAUGGAAAAUCAGACUCCCCCCACUUGCCUGCAAAGAUAAUCAUGAAUGUUAAUAAUUAGUUGAUUUACAUGCUGUCUUUGCUUCAAGAGUCUCAAGCAUGCUGGGCUUGUUUAUUUUGUUUCUCCUAUUUUAAAAAUUGUUUCCACCAAGGCUGAGAGAGCUUCUCUGUGGGUUCUUUCAAAUUGAGAAUAACACCUCAUAGGAUUAAGAGAAUUCAGUCAGGAAAUUCAUGUGGAAUACUUACCAUAAUUCUUAUCACCUAGUAAGUACUCAAUAAAUAGAAGCUAUUAUUAUUGUAUCAUUUUAGUCAGCUUGAUGACUCAUGGGUUGCUUGUGAACUUCUGAAUAUUUUCAGAGUGAGAAGAUGGAACCCUAGCUUGAGUAAUUGAGUACUCUGUUCAGGCUCCUGACAACCAUCUCAUUCCACAUAUUAGUAUCCUUACGUCCCUAUUACAAGUCAGUUUUAGACCAAAGAUAGUGGACUGGGGAGGUGAAGAGGCACCUAAAAGACAAAUGCUUAUCUUCAUACAGGUCACUGCUCAAAAUCAUAUCGAAGACUAGUCAAUGUGAUAGUUUUGAUGGAUAACUUGACAUGUGUAGAAUCAACAGAAAAGAGUCUCAGUGAAGGAUUAUUUAGAUUAGAUUAGCCUGUGGUUGAGUCUUUGGGAGAUUAUAUUGAUUAUGUUAAUUGAGGUGGGAAGAUAUAUCCAUUGUGGGUGGCACUAUUCCCUUGGCAGGGGAUUCUGAACUCUCUAAGAGUAGAGAAAGGGAGCUGAGUACCAGUGGGCAUACAUGAAGUCAUUGCUCUCUGCUGGAUGUAUUGGGACUAGCUGCUUCAAGUUUUAGCCCCCUUGACUUCUCUGCAAUGACUGACUGUAACCUGGAACUGUAAGCCAAAUCAACCCUUUCUCUCUUAAGAUGCUUUUGUUACACUAUUUUGUCAUAGCAACAGGAAAUAAAAGUAAGACAAUCAGAGUGACUGUCUAAACAGAGUGCCUCAAGAGUGAUUUCCAAAGGGUGAUAUGCCAUCUAACAAGGCAAAUUAAAGGACAUACUUCCCUGCCACACUAACUGAACCGGGGUUCUUGUGAGGAAGGUCCAGGCAUUUGCAAUUAAAAUCUAUUCUGCUCCAUGGUAAGGGUCACAUGCCACUAAGUGGUCCUCCAAAGUCAUCUCCAAACUUGCAAUAACCCCCCAAGAAAGACUGGAGACUGCAAAAUAUUUACCUUGUAAGAGCAUCUAAUAAGCUCGACAUCCCUGUGAUGCUCUGAUAUUGAGCACAGCAAUGGAAGUUUGGGGUCACUACCAAGCUUGCAGAGUGUGGCUUGGACACUUACAGACAGUCCCUCUAGGAUCUUGGGCAGAUAGCAGGCAGUUGCUAACUCCGGGGGUAAUCUGGGAGGAGAGAGGCCAAGGGUGUUCACAGCACUGGUGUAGCAGAGUUUCUCACUCUUUUCAUGGCCUCUUUGAAUGAAACACUUUCACUCCCUCCUCCUCCCCUUCGUCACUUAGUCUCACUUUCAAAUAAUGUUAUGCCAGCGACUGUAAACCCCGAGGCAGCCCAUGGAAGCCAUGCCACCGCUGCACAUGUUGUGUGUACACAUACUUACAUAUUCCGCACCACUGCCUUUGUUCUUAAGCCAAUAAAAGUGAUUUUCAGAUCAUCUGCGGCUUUGGAUCCUCUGCACCACUGCUCCCCCCAUUAGCAUGGCUAAUUGAGAACUGACUGUGUGUCUUGGACCAUUUCCAAGCAGGGAACCCAUUGCCUAGAAUGAUGUGGGCUCCCCAAGAGAACUGAGCAAAUAGAGAGAAAUAUCAAGUCGGGUGUCCGUUGGAAGAAGAGUACACUUUUAAGGAUGAUCUGACCAGUCCCAGUCCAGAGAAGCAAUCUGGUUUGGCAUGUCACAUUGAUUUCCAAGUCAGUAAACUGUAAAACUGUCCCCCAGCUAGAACAUGCAACAACUCAGAGAAAGAUGAGGUUUGGCCAGUAAAGGAUGAAGCCAUCAUAAGACCAAUAAAAAGAUGCAAUGUGGUUCUCCUUAGGCUGUAUAUCAACACCUUCCUGGAGGCUACAAGGGACAGUGCACAUAGGCGUAUGUUCUGUUUCACUUUGUAGAGUGAGGAUGAGAUAGAGGUUGGUGGGGAAAUUCCCCUCAGUCUCACUAUGCAGCUCUGUCUGGCCUGGAGCUUACUAUGUAGAUCAGGCUGACCAAAACGUCUACAGAAACCUACUCUGUGCAGAAACCCCCAUUUAGACAUUUUUUUUUUUUUGUCUUAGGACAUCAUGGUGAAAAUACUCAAGUAGAUCUCAGACAUGCUGAGAAAAAACAAAACCAAAAAACCAAAACCAAGACUCCCAAACAGCAAAAUUACCCACAGAAAACAAAACCAAGGAAUGGAAACAAAAACAAAAGCAAAAGGAAGCACGAAAUUGUAAGCACGUUUUGGAUGGUGUCAUUUUUCUUAUGACAUAAGCUCCCAGCUGGCCCCGGCACUGUCUCUUGGAAUAAAUAGCAAGCUGCGGAGGGUCAUGCCUCAUGUGGGUUUCUGAUAAGUAUUGUUUGGUUGUAUGCUGUUUAUCACAAAGACAAUGGAUAGUAUUGUCAGACAGACUCAUGAGCAGCUGCCUUUUGCAAGAAGAAUGGGAGAAGUUCCCCAGAACUUGCACAAUUCUGCGUUCUGUCCCAAACAAUAAGAAGUGAAAAGCCUGGGCUGAGGGCACUGGGAGGCAGAGGCAUAUUUCUCAGGAGGGCUAGAAAACCCGUGCUCAGGGUUAAACUGUGCAAAUGGGGUCUUAGUGUGUGUGCAUUCUCUAUCAGUCAGAGGUCAGCGGACUCCAUUUGUAUCUGCCUCCUCAUCACUGCUUGAGGACAUGAACUGGACCACUGCAUGAGGGCUUUGGGUAUGGAGCUAGAUAUGGUAGUUUACGUUGGCUCACAUUAGACUCUCCUAGGAGGGCCCUCAAAGCCUAAUCUAUUCCACUGAAGAUUCUGGCUUAUGGAACCUGGGUUGUAUUAUACAGCACCUGGGAUAUUUUAGGCAUAAGGGGAACAAAAGCCACGCCAAAGCCUCUUAGGUGGUGGGGGCGAGACCGGCACCAUGAGGCUCCCCUUCAAUCUACCAGGAUCAAGCCGAGACCGAAGCGGUGUUCUCAUCUUUAUAGAUACCAAGCAGUAGAUGGUGGGUUGUGGAUGGGAAGGAAAGAGGGAAAGUUGAGAAAAAAGAAGAGAGUUGGGAAGCCUAGGAGUUAAAUAAGUUGGAUUUCUCCUGAGAGGUUUUUUCAUCAGGAUCCGAAAGGUGAAGGAUAUGCUUGCUGGUAGUUUCUGGUGAAAGAUGUAUGGCUUGUGACAAAGCAUUGUUUCUGUUUGCAGUCACCAGGGAGUUGGGUAACUGGUGACUAGCAACUUGGAAGACUCACUGAAAAUAAAAAGUGCAUACCUGUCUCUAAAAGUCCAUUACCAUAACAAUUGUCCAUGACUUUGGGGGAAUCUGCAUCUUGGCUACAAGAGAAAACAGGAAAAUGGAAAUUGUGUGUGUGUGUGUAGGGGGUGUUGGUGGUGGUGUUGGAGAACCCCAAAGGCUGUAGUAGUCAGCGGUCUGUUAUUGUAACAAAAUACUCGAGACAAUCAACAGAAGGAAGGAAAAGGUUAGUUUGGCUUACGGUUGUACCUGAUGGUGGGAGCGCAUGGGGGAAGCCCUCCCCUUCAUAGUGGCUGGGAAGCAGAGAGAGGUAAGGAGCAUGGAGUUCCCACAUCUCCUUCAAGGAUGGGUCCCCCUAGGUCCUGGUUCCUGAAGGCUUCACCACCUCUCCGUAGCACUAGACCGGCAACUAAACCAUCACCACGUAGUCCUCCGUGGGACACAGCCACACUAUGACAAAGGCUGAUGGACAUUGUGCACUGGUGAUGCUGGGGGUGCCGAAGCAGUGUGUGACCUAACAAAGAAGGGAACUGCAGAGCAGAUCAGUAAGAAGAGACUGACCGGGUCACCCAAGCUUCCAGCAGGUUCUCGGUAUCAGCUGCUAGGUAGAGGAUGUCCCUCGGGUCAUGUCUUCAUUCUCUGCUCCACCCCACCUUUUCUCCUCACAUAUUUCUAGUCAGACCCACUCCCAUG